GUGUCAGCAGCCGCGGUAAUACGGAGGGGGUUAGCGUUGUUCGGAAUUACUGGGCGUAAAGCGCGCGUAGGCGGGCUGGAAAGUUGGGGGUGAAAUCCCGGGGCUCAACCCCGGAACUGCCUUCAAAACUCCCAGCCUGGAGGUCGAGAGAGGUGAGUGGAAUUCCGAGUGUAGAGGUGAAAUUCGUAGAUAUUCGGAGGAACACCAGUGGCGAAGGCGGCUCACUGGCUCGCACCUGACGCUGAGGCGCGAAAGUGUGGGGAGCAAACAGGAUUAGAUACCCUGGUAGUCCACACCGUAAACGAUGGAUGCCAGUCGUCGGGCGGCUUGCCGUUCGGUGACGCAGUUAACGCAUUAAGCAUCCCGCCUGGGGAGUACGGCCGCAAGGUUAAAACUUAAAUGAAUUGACGGGG
rnacentral:rRNA from 1 species